UACGUAGGGGGCAAGCGUUGUCCGGAUUUAUUGGGCGUAAAGAGCGUGUAGGCGGCCAUACAGGUCCGUUGUGAAAACUCGAGGCUCAACCUCGAGACGUCGAUGGAAACCGUAUGGCUAGAGUCCGGAAGAGGAGAGUGGAAUUCCUGGUGUAGCGGUGAAAUGCGCAGAUAUCAGGAAGAACACCCGUGGCGAAGGCGGCUCUCUGGGACGGUACUGACGCUGAGACGCGAAAGCCAGGGGAGCGAACGGG
rnacentral:rRNA from 1 species